GAGGGUAUAGCUCAGUGGUAGAGCACAUGCUUAGCAUGUGCAAGGCCCUGGGUUCAAUCCCCAGUACUGCCA
rnacentral:tRNA from 1 species